rnacentral:ribozyme from 1 species
AGCAAUACCGCACUGAUAUGGGUACGGAUCCGAAGCCUCUCAAGGAUAAUAUAGACUCUCCAUACUCUACUCCGACUCAAUACGUCCAGAGAAUGGUAACGUAUCUCUCCAAAUAUCUGAGCCUUGGUAUAAUGCUAGACCCAACUGCUUGGGAAAAUUGGUUAUAUGGUUAAAUUGAGAGUU